UGUAGCCCUUUCAGUAUGUAAUUUUUUUCAUUCAGUUUUACUUCAAGAGCAAUCAAAGACAGAAAAGGCCCAGGAAUAGUAAAAAAGCAGAGACGAUGCAUCUACCAUGCAUUUCCUGUCUUGUCACAUCAUGGUCAAUUUGCUGAAGUUGACCUUCAGACACCCUGUACGAUAAAGGUGAAAGGAAGAUGGUCUUACUGAAGGAACCGAAACAGAGGUUGGGGUGUUUAGAAGAAAAAGGAAUUUUUGAAGAAUUUUCUAGAAAAAUCAAUGUCCAAGGAUUGGAGACUACUCAUGACAAUUGCAAAAGAAACAGAAAUCAAACAUUGUAUUUAGAAAAAAAAAAUAGAAAAUGAUAGCUAUAAAGGAUGCAACAACAUCUGUCAGUAAAGAAUCAGAAACAUCUUUCAAGUAUGUCAUCAACCGGGGAAAGUAGUUUAGAAAAUGAAGGUCAAGCAAACAAACUGAUGAAUAUUUAAAUUCCUUUUUGAGGUGCUAAAUGAAGAAUGGAGAUCUAGAUUGUACUAUUUAAUCAGAAAAGGGAAUAUAGAUUCUGCACAAAUAAAAUAUAAUGCAAAUACUCUGCAUACCAAUACAA